rnacentral:rRNA from 1 species
GCCUAAUACAUGCAAGUCGAGCGAGCUGAACCAACAGAUUCACUUCGGUGAUGACGUUGGGAACGCGAGCGGCGGAUGGGUGAGUAACACGUGGGGAACCUGCCCCAUAGUCUGGGAUACCACUUGGAAACAGGUGCUAAUACCGGAUAAGAAAGCAGAUCGCAUGAUCAGCUUAUAAAAGGCGGCGUAAGCUGUCGCUAUGGGAUGGCCCCGCGGUGCAUUAGCUAGUUGGUAGGGUAACGGCCUACCAAGGCAAUGAUGCAUAGCCGAGUUGAGAGACUGAUCGGCCACAUUGGGACUGAGACACGGCCCAAACUCCUACGGGAGGCAGCAGUAGGGAAUCUUCCACAAUGGACGAAAGUCUGAUGGAGCAACGCCGCGUGAGUGAAGAAGGUUUUCGGAUCGUAAAGCUCUGUUGUUGGUGAAGAAGGAUAGAGGUAGUAACUGGCCUUUAUUUGACGGUAAUCAACCAGAAAGUCACGGCUAACUACGUGCCAGCAGCCGCGGUAAUACGUAGGUGGCAAAGCGUUGUCCGGAUUUAUUGGGCCGUAAAGCGAGCGCAGGCGGAAGAAUAAGUCUGAUGUGAAAGCCCUCGGCUUAACCGAGGAACUGCAUCGGAAACUGUUUUUCUUGAGUGCAGAAGAGGAGAGUGGAACUCCAUGUGUAGCGGUGGAAUGCGUAGAUAUAUGGAAGAAC